GUAAUGUAACAACUGAGACAAAGUCAUCUCUAUCUAAGGUCAGCUAUAUAUCUAAAAGCCAGGUGUGAGGUCAUUAUGUUCCCAGGGCUGGUCCUUUCUUGCCCAAACCAUAGUUCUAAUUCUCAUUUAUUGUUUAGCCCACCACCAGCCAGCUCUUAGUAAAUAUCUAACUAUGCUAUGCUUCUGGGCUAGUGAAAGUAUGUGCUACGGAGUUCUGUUCUAGGUAACCUUGUCAUGAAUAAUGCAAUACUCUAGUUCCUCCUUAAACCACAUCUCGACCUACUUCCUAAAGCAUUGUAAAUUCUUGUAAAUGUGAGUGACUGGGCUGUUAUUCUAAGUGAUUUUGUUGGGGACUUUCUUCUAUUAAGUAAUAUAGUCUGCCAUAUAUAACUAUAGUAAGAAUUCUAAACUUACUUUGCUAAGCUUGCCCUGAGAUUUCUAACUAUUUAGUAGAUAGUAAUGCCUGAAUUCUUUCACUGUCUCUUUUUCAAUACUGGAGGCAAUCCGUGUUAAUCGGUAACAGUCUAAUGAAAUCCCAAGUCCAGGGCCGGCUCAAGGGCUGGCUAGGACAUUGGUGAAGGCCAGGAAGCAAAGUUCAACCUAAUUUAGAUAUUUGACAAAUCAUUCCUUGGAGACACUGAUAAUAAAACAAUACUGAAAAAAAGCACACAGACCCAUUCACCUAUUAACGCAAGGACAAAUUUGAAACAUUCAUGCUAUGGGAUGCCAAGGCUCCAGGAGACUUCCAUGAAACUUUUUGCCUCAGGACCUUGUCUAAGCUUUUGGACUUGCCACACAGAUUUCACUGGAGUGGCUAUGGCACACCAGCACCUGGAUCUGUAAGGUUCUGCAAAGAAAGGCUUUGCACGUUCACUCUUCUGCCUCACCAGUCUUGAUUUCUGAACUUAUAAAUUUGACCAUAAGCUACUUGUGAAGUAAAAGAUGGAACAAAAGAAUGAGGGUUGUCGAUGACUCAGAAGUUUAAGAGCAGGGGUGGGUGUGGAGGGGUGGGUGCACUGGGGAGAAAGCUCAGCGGUUAAGAGUGCUGACUGCUCUUCCACAGAUUCUGAGUUCAAUUCCCAGCAACCACAUAGUGGCUCACCACCAUUUGUAAUGGGAUCCAAUGCUCUCUUCAGGUGUGUCUGAAGAGAGCUACAGUGUGCUCAUAUACAUAAAUACAAAAUAAAAAAAAUAAAGUUAGGAGCACUGGCCUGCUCUUGCAGAAGACUCAAAAUUGAUUCCAAGCAUCAACAUGGUGGCUCCCAAACAUCUUCAGGGACCUGAUUCCCUAUCCUAACUUCUGAGGGCAACAGACAACAAAUGGUGUACAUAUAUGCAGGUUGGCAAAAUGUUCAUACUUGACAAUAGACCAGAGAAAUAGUGUUUUUAAUUAAUGGGCUAUCUCCCCAAGCCUCUAAAUCACUUCUUAAAAUGCCGGAAUGUAUAUAAACUCACUGGCAGCAUAUCCUUGGCAACCUCACUAAAACUGUGAUGUAGCUCUAAAUGUCACACAGGAGGAGCAAUGAUAAAUACUUACAAAAUUUAAAAAAAAAAGAAAAAGACUGGAGCUGGACACUUAAAGCUAGCUUCAAAGCACAAGGCCCUCUCCUGGCCUCUGCAGCUACUUGCACCUGUGUGUGUGUGUGUAUGUGUGGCAUGCAUAGUGUGUAUGCAUGUUCAUAUGUGUGUGGUAUAUAUGUGUGCACUUUCAUGUGUAUGUGCAGUGUGUACAGUGUAUGUUUGUAUGUGUAUUAGUGAUGUGGUGUGUAUGUGUGCAGUGUAUGUUUCUGUGUGUAUGAAUAACAUGUGCAGCAUGUAUGUGCAUAUGUGUAAACAAAAAUAUUUGUCUCUAGGUGUGUAACAAAGGUGAAUAAAAUAAAUCUUUUUAAAAAAUGAGUUGGGCUGGAAAUAUGGCUUAGCAGGUGGGAGCACUGACUGUUCUUCCAGAGGUUCUGAGUUCAAUUCCCAGCAACCACAUGGUGGAUCACAACUAUUUCUUUUGGGAUCUGACAUCCUCUUAUCUUGUGUCUGAAGAGAGUGACAGUGUACACACAUACAUAAAAGAAAUAAUGUUUUUUUUUAAAUGGGUCAAAAUAAGUCCUAUCUGAAAACUAAAAAGUUGUUCUGGGCUGGCGAAUGGUUCCAUUGGUAAAGAACCUGGCAAAACCUGACUG
rnacentral:lncRNA from 1 species